GCGGGUAUGGUUCAAUGGUAGAACAACAGAUUUCCAAUCUGUUUAUGCGGGUUCGAUUCCCGCUACCCGCUCCA
rnacentral:tRNA from 3 species